GAUGAACGCUGGCGGCGUGCCUAAUACAUGCAAGUCGAGCGAACAGACGAGGAGCUUGCUCCUCUGACGUUAGCGGCGGACGGGUGAGUAACACGUGGAUAACCUACCUAUAAGACUGGGAUAACUUCGGGAAACCGGAGCUAAUACCGGAUAAUAUAUUGAACCGCAUGGUUCAAUAGUGAAAGACGGUUUUGCUGUCACUUAUAGAUGGAUCCGCGCCGCAUUAGCUAGUUGGAAAGGUAACGGCUUACCAAGGCGACGAUGCGUAGCCGACCUGAGAGGGUGAUCGGCCACACUGGAACUGAGACACGGUCCAGACUCCUACGGGAGGCAGCAGUAGGGAAUCUUCCGCAAUGGGCGAAAGCCUGACGGAGCAACGCCGCGUGAGUGAUGAAGGUCUUCGGAUCGUAAAACUCUGUUAUUAGGGAAGAACAAAUGUGUAAGUAACUAUGCACGUCUUGACGGUACCUAAUCAGAAAGCCACGGCUAACUACGUG
rnacentral:rRNA from 1 species